rnacentral:rRNA from 1 species
UACGAAGGGGGCUAGCGUUGCUCGGAAUCACUGGGCGUAAAGGGCGCGUAGGCGGGCUCUUAAGUCAGGGGUGAAAGCCCAAGGCUCAACCUUGGAAUUGCCUUUGAUACUGAGGGCCUUGAGACCGGAAGAGGUCGGCGGAACUGCGAGUGUAGAGGUGAAAUUCGUAGAUAUUCGCAAGAACACCAGUGGCGAAGGCGGCCGACUGGUCCGGUUCUGACGCUGAGGUGCGAAAGCGUGGGGAGCGAACAGG